rnacentral:lncRNA from 1 species
GUUUGUAUGGUAUUAUGUUAAAUAGUCUGUAUAUAAAAUCUGGAAUGAUUUAUGUUUUGCAAGUGAAUAUUUCGACCUCAUUGAAUCCGUAUUCCUGUGCAUUUUAAUUUAACCCCUUAGCUAGUGAUGGAUUACGCAUGCAUUGCGCGUGUUUGUUAUAUAUUUUCAUUUUUAUGCGGUGCCGGUAAACAACUAUUCUAGGUUAAGGUCAAAAUGAAAACCUUAAGCAAGUCCACAAUCGUGUUACAUUCUGUAUUAAACAGCCUAAAAUUAAAGGAUUAGAGCUUAGUGACUGACAAAUUUUGUUCUCCUUCUUAUUAACAUUUUGUUCAUUGUUCUGAAAUAUAUCGCCCUAUUUGUUUUCAUGUUUGACUUGUUUCUGUUUUUAAAAUGUGACGGCC